UCGGAUUUGUCUUACGUACCCCAAGUUUCCCCUAACUUUAAAACUACUUGCUGACAAAACCAGACAGAAAAAUACCAAAGUGUCACAGCCACACUAUUACUGAAAAAUUGUUGACUUUCUCAUUUUUACCAUAGAAUUAUAAAAUAAAUUAAUUGGAAUAUAAAUAUUGUACUGACAUUUUAGUGUCUAGUAUAUAAAACAGUACAACAAGUCACUGUUUGUAUGUAAUUUUAGAUUGUACUGACUUCACUAGCGCUAUUUAUGUAGCCUGUUGUAAAACUGGGCAAAUCUUUAGAUGAGUUGAUGUACCCCCUGGAAGACCUAUGAGGCCCACCCAGAGG